AGCAGUCUUACCUCAUCUAUGCAGCUUCCUCUUCAGACAGAGGGCUCACUGUAUCUGUAGGCAUUCCUUAGGCUCUAAUAUCAAAACAGCACUAAAUAACCUGUCAUUCUCCCUCCCAGGUUAUAGACUUUGCUGCGUGAUCAAGCUUUUGGUCCAUUUUUUGGUCCAUUUUUUUGGUCCUUUUUUGAGGAAAGAAUUUCCCCAGAAUGAUGCGACCCGUCAAAUAGACAGUUGUUGACGCGUCUCCUCCUCCCUUCUACUCUGAGCGAGAGCAAGGACUGUUUGACUUCUCCACGUUGGGUGUUCAGGAGCCGUCCCAGAUACUGAUAUCAAACCUGAUACCGAGGGAGUUCCGUUUCACAUCGGUGUCUCCUGAGUGAUCGAACGGGGAAUCUACGACAUAUCCAACGCUGUCAUCCGGAGAAGCCGCCACGCCUGUUUGACAUCCACGCUUCAUACAUC
ensembl:lncRNA